rnacentral:rRNA from 1 species
UACAGAGGUGGCAAGCGUUGUUCGGAAUUACUGGGCGUAAAGGGCGCGUAGGCGGUUCGUUAAGUCCUGUGUGAAAUCCCCCGGCUCAACUGGGGAACUGCACAGGAAACUAGCGGGCUUGAGUUCGGGAGAGGGAAGCGGAAUUCCGGGUGUAGCGGUGAAAUGCGUAGAUAUCUGGAGGAACACCGGUGGCGAAGGCGGCAUCCUGGACCGGCAUUGACGCUGAGGCGCGAAAGCCAGGGGAGCAAAGCGGG